UCCGUAGGUGAACCUGCGGAGGGAUCAUUACAGAGUUCAUGCCCUCCAUGGGUAGAUCUCCCACCCUUGCGUAUUCAUACCUUUGUUGCUUUGGCAGGCCGCUGGGCCUUGGUCCAGCCACCGGCCGCGAGGCUGGCGUGCGCCUGCCAGAGGAUCUCCAAACUCUGGUUGUUAGUGUCGUCUGAGUAUCAUGCAAUUGUUAAAACUUUCAACAACGGAUCUCUUGGUUCUGGCAUCGAUGAAGAACGCAGCGAAAUGCGAUAAGUAAUGUGAAUUGCAGAAUUCAGUGAAUCAUCGAAUCUUUGAACGCACAUUGCGCCCUUUGGUAUUCCGAAGGGCAUGCCUGUUCGAGCGUCAUUUCAACCCUCAAGCUCUGCUUGGUAUUGGGCCCUGCCACGCUGGCAGGCCCUAAAAUCAGUGGCGGCGUCACCUGGGCUCCAAGCGUAGUAGCAUUUCUCGCUCCGGAGACCUGGUGGUGCUCGCCAGACAACCCCUCAUCUUCUAUGGUUGACCUCGGAUCAGGUAGGGAUACCCGCUGAACUUAAGCAUAUCAAUAAGCGGAGGAAAAGAAACCAACAGGGAUUGCCUCAGUAACGGCGAGUGAAGCGGCAACAGCUCAAAUUUGAAAUCUGGCUCCUUCGGAGUCCGAGUUGUAAUUUGUAGAAGAUGCUUCGGGCGUGGCCCUGGUCUAAGUUCCUUGGAACAGGACGUCACAGAGGGUGAGAAUCCCGUACGUGGCUGGAGGCCUACGCCCAUGUGAAGCUCUUUCGACGAGUCGAGUUGUUUGGGAAUGCAGCUCUAAAUGGGUGGUAAAUUUCAUCUAAAGCUAAAUAUUGGCCAGAGACCGAUAGCGCACAAGUAGAGUGAUCGAAAGAUGAAAAGCACUUUGGAAAGAGAGUUAAACAGUACGUGAAAUUGUUGAAAGGGAAGCGCUUGCAACCAGACUUGCGCGUCGUCGAUCAUCUGGUGUUCUCACCGGUGCGCUCGGCGACGUUCAGGCCAGCAUCAGUUUUGAUGGUUGGAUAAAGGCCCUGGGAAUGUGGCUCUCCUCGGAGAGUGUUAUAGCCCAAGGUGCAAUGCAGCCCACCGAGACUGAGGACCGCGCUUCGGCUAGGAUGCUGGCGUAAUGGUUGCAAGCGACCCGUCUUGAAACACGGACCAAGGAGUCUAACAUCUAUGCGAGUGUUUGGGUGUCAAACCCAUGCGCGUAAUGAAAGUGAACGGAGGUGAGAGCCCUGAAGGGUGCAUCAUCGACCGAUCCUGAUGUCUUCGGAUGGAUUUGAGUAAGAGCAUACAUGUUGGGACCCGAAAGAUGGUGAACUAUACUUGAAUAGGGUGAAGCCAGAGGAAAC
rnacentral:misc_RNA from 1 species